rnacentral:tRNA from 1 species
GGGGGUAUAGCUCAUAGUGAUAGAGCAUGUGCUUAGUAUGCACAGGGUCCUGAGUUCAAUCCCCAGUACCUCCU